UGGCUCAGAUGGUACAGCGUCUGCCUGCAAUGCAGGAGACCCGGGUUCAAUCCCUGG
rfam:Ovis aries breed Texel chromosome 2, whole genome shotgun sequence.